rnacentral:lncRNA from 1 species
CCCGGCCCCCAGCGAUGGCGCUGGGGGGACCUUGGGAUUCCUAUGGGGGGCUGGCGGGUCCUAUAGGUGCUCGCGGGACCCUACGGGUUCCUUGGUGCUUAGGGGGGGCUCUGUAGGUGCCUGGGGGGGGGGGGUCUAUGGGUGCCCGAGGCACCCCAUGGGGUCCCUUUAUGUCCUGGGGGUCACUGGGGUCACCUGAGCCCUACGGAUGCUGCCCGGAAGGUCUGACAGCUCUGGGGGUCCCAAUGCAGCCCCCGGGCGAAUUAUGGGGCUCAGGGGGUGGCUAUGGGUCCCUGGGGGUCCCUGUGGCUCCUGGGGGUCCCGGGGGGAUCCCCACACCUUAUUUCAGUCCCUAUGGUCCCUUAUAGCUCCUUAUAGGUGCCUUAUUGGUCCCCGGAGUCCCUUUAGCUGCCAAGGGUCCCUGUGGGUUCUUACAGCGCCUGAAGAACCCUGGGGGUCCCUGUGGGUCCCCGGGGGUCCCAAUGGCUCCUGAGGGUCCCUGUGGGUCCCCGGGGUCCCAAUGGCUCCUGGGGGUCUCUGUGGGUCCCCGGGGGUCCCUUUGGUCCCUGUCGCUGCAGUGGCUCCUCGGAGUCUCUGUAGGUCCCCGGGGAUCCCGACGAUCCCUGUGGCUCCAAUGGGUCCCUACAGCUCCCCGGGGGUCCCUACGCCCCCUCCCCGGCCGCCACAACCCCCUGCGGGCCCCAGAGUCCCUCCGCCCCCCGCCCCGGUCCCCUCCCUCCCCGUCCCCGAUCCCCUCCGCCCCGUCCCGUCCCCCGGGGCCCCCCGCGCCCCGUCCCGUCCCCGCCUGGUCCCGCCGGAGCCCCCGCGGCCCGGAGGGGGGAGGAAGCGGCGUCCGGCGGCGUCCCCGGGGGGGGGCAGGGGGCGGCCCGGCCGCUCUGGGCUCCCGGGGGUCCGGCGGUUCCCCGCGCUGGCUGAGGCGGCCCCGGGAAGGCGGAGCCGGGACAUUGUCACCGGGACAAAGGAAAAGGAACCAGCGCCGGACGGGGCGGGCCGGGGGCACCGGACGCCGUGGGUGGGGGGGGGGGGGGGGGGGGGACCGGACGAGAGGCCGGCGCGGGGAGGGGGGGGCGGCCCUGACCCCGGGACCCCCGGGGACCCUCGCACCGGGCUGGGGGGAGGCGCUGCUGCCCCGCCAACCCGCGGGACACCGGGAGCCGAGCCCGGAGGGUCGGCGGGGGCGGUGUGGGGGAAAACGGGCCCGGAUAACGCGGGGGGCGGUCCCGUGUGUCCGCCCCCCCCCCCCCCCCCCGCCUCCCCCGUUCCGGCGCGGGGUCCCCCGGGCCCGGCUGCGGUGGCGCCCGGCGCCACUGGGGGGCGCCCUGUGCGCUCCGACCCGCGCGGCCACGGCGGCGCUUUGGCCACGCCCACGGCCACGCCCUCCCCAGGGGGCGGAGCCAGUCCAGCAGCGCAUGCGCAAAAGGGACUCCUCACCGGGGGCGGGGCCGUAAAGGGGCGUGUUCUUUUCCCCGCCCUCUGGCGCCGUUUUGUGACGUCACUCAGGCGCGCCCGGAAGCGGCGCCGGGACCGGGGGGUCCUCCCGGGGUGGGUGGGGGGAGGGGUCCCGGGGAGGGCUCGGGGGUCCCGGCGCCGCCGCUGCCAUGGUGGGGACAGCGGUGCUGCAGGUGCUCCGCCAAGGCGUUUGGGCCUCGCUGACGGGCGGCUGCUUCCUGGACCCUCAGCUCGGAGCCUUCGCCAACUGCGUGCGGCUCUACGUGUGGCUGUUCCUGCUCGGGCUCCCGCUCGGCCUCUACUCGGCGCUGCCCCCCAGCCCCGCCGUGGCCGCUCUGUACUGCGGGCUCGUGGCCGCGUUCUUCGGGGCCGUCAAGGCCGUGACGUUCCGGCUGCACGCGCGCCUGGACCGGGGGGGCUCCGAGGGGGACCCCGAGGGGGGGGCGGCCGCUCUGCUGCCCCCCCCCAGCCCUGAGGAGCGGGACCCUUCCCCCGGCCCCCCCGGGGGGGGUCUGGAGCUCUCGGUGCUCCGGUGGCCGAGCGCGACCCCCCCUCAACUCUGCGGCUUCAACCAACUCUCGGUGAGUGGGGGGGAGGGGGUGUGAAGGAACAGGGACCCCUCCCCACCCCCCCCGUGUCCCCCGUAACCCACCCGAGCGUCACCUGUCCCCAGGAGCUGCUGCCACACCUGGACACCGCCACCGGCGCCGGGGGUGAGCAGCACCGGGACCCCCCCUCCCCUCCCCCUCCCCGGUUUGUGUCCCACUCCCCCUCUAACCCCCCCCCGCCCCCCCCCCCCCGCAGAGCUCCGGGGCAUCGUGACCGCAGCUGACCGGGCCUGGCUGCGCUCGCCGGGGCACGGAGGGGCCUGGGGGGGGCCCGAUGGGGCUGGGGGCGAUGCCAGGACCCCCCCCCCGACCCUCUGCCCCCCCCCAGCCCCGGUGAGCUGCCCUGCAGGGCUGGGGGUCCCGCCUGGCAGCCCCCCCCGUCACCCCCCCAGGGUGGGGGUCCCAGCAGCCGCUGCUCGACCCCCACCCCCCCCACGGGCCCCCAGCGCCCCCCCCGGGAGGGCUGCGGAGGGGGAGGGGGCUCUGGGGGUGAGCGGCCAGGUGAGACCCCCGGUGGGGCGUGAAGGGGGGCAGGGGGUGACCCCAUAACGGGGGUGGGGGGAGGUCCAGCCCCGUACUGGAGGGAUCCAGCCCCACACUGGGAAGGUCCAGCCCCAUACUGGAGGGAUCCAGCCCCACACUGGGAGGGUCCAGCCCCACACUGGGAGGGUCCAGCCCCACACUGGAGGGAUCCAGCCCCACACUGGGAUGGUCCAGCCCCACACUGGGAGGGUCCAGCCCCACACUGGGGGGUCCAACCCCACACUGGAGGGGUCCAGCCCCAUACUAGGGGGGGGUCCAGCGCUGUGACUGGGAUGUUCUGGGGGACACUGGGGGUUCCAGCCCUGUAAUGGGGGGGCUGGGGGCUGCUUCCCCCCCCCCAAACUGAGGAGCGCUUGGGGGGGGGGGUCCUGCCCUAUAGCCAGAGGGGUUUGGGGAAGGGGUGCAGCCCCACGGUGACGUUUGGGGGAGGGAGGGCCCCCGAUCUCUUAAGUGGACCCUUCCCCUUCAUUUUGCCGGGUUUUGGAGGAGUUUUGUCACUUUUAGGGUUGAUAAGAGAAAUUAUUAAAUAAAGCCCGUAACGGUUCCAAAAAUCGGUUUUUUUGUGGUUUUCCCGCCACGCUCGGAGCGGGGGGAGGGGGGAGGC